rnacentral:rRNA from 1 species
CGCCCCUUAGUGCUGCAGCUAACGCAUUAAGCACUCCGCCUGGGGAGUACGGUCGCAAGACUGAAACUCAAAGGAAUUGACGGGCGCCGUGUCCAAGCGUGGAGCCUGUUGUUUAAUUUGAAGCAACCGCGAAGAACCUUACCAGGUCUGACCAUCUCCUGACAACCUUAAGAUAGGGCUUUUCCCUUCGGGAACAAGUGACAGGGGGGGGCAUGCUUUCGGUCAGUCCGGUCGGUGGAAUGUGGGUUAAGUCCCGCAACGAGCGCAAACCUUGAUCCUAGUUGCCAGCCAUUAGUUUGGCACUUCUAGGGGACUGCCGGGGAACAACCGGAAGAAGGGGUGGGAUGACGUCCAAUCAUCAUGCCCCUUAUGACCUGGGCUACACACAGUGCUACCAUGGAACAAACAAAGGGCUGCCAGGCCGCAAGGUUUAGCCCAUCCCAUAAAUCUGUUCUCAAGUCCGAUCGCAGUCUGCAACUCGACUGCGUGAAGCUGGAAUCGGUAGUAAUCCGGAUCAGCAUGCCGCGGUGAAACGUUCCCGGCCU